GUGCCAGCGCGGUAAUACGGGGGGGAGCAAGCGUUGUUCGGAUUUACUGGGCGUAAAGGGCGCGUAGGUGGCGGCCCAAGUCCAUGGUGAAAGCUCGAUGCUCAACAUCGAGUCGGCCACGGAUACUGGGUUGCUCGAGCACUGUAGGGGCAGAUGGAAUUCCGGGUGUAGCGGUGGAAUGCGUAGAGAUCCGGAAGAACAUCGGUGGCGAAGGCGGCCAGCUGGGCCAUUGCUGACGCUGAUGCGCGACAGCGUGGGGAGCAAACAGG
rnacentral:rRNA from 1 species